rnacentral:rRNA from 1 species
GGGAUUGCCUUAGUAACGGCGAGUGAAGCGGCAAUAGCUCAAAUUUGAAAUCUGGCUCUUUCAGAGUCCGAAUUGUAAUUUGUAGAGGAUGUUUCGGACAAGGUUGCGGUUUAAAUUCCUUGGAACAGGAUGUCAUAGAGGGUGAGAAUCCCGUCUUGAAUCGUAUACUGCGUCUAUGUGAAACUCCUUCGACGAGUCGAGUUAUUUGGGAAUGCAGCUCAAAAUGGGAGGUAAAUUUCUUCUAAAGCUAAAUAUUGGCCAGAGACCGAUAGCGCACAAGUAGAGUGAUCGAAAGAUGAAAAGCACUUUGAAAAGAGAGUUAAACAGUAUGUGAAAUUGUUGAAAGGGAAGCGCUUACAACCAGACUUGUGAAUUGCAGUUCUACCUGGGUUUUCCCAGGCUUAUUCUGUUUUUCCAGGCCAGCAUCAGUUUGGGUGGUUAGUUAAAGGCUUAGGGAAUGUAUCUACUCUUCGGGGUCGACUUAUAGCCCUAGGUGUCAUGUAACCUACCUGGACUGAGGAACGCGCAUCUGCUCGGAUGCUGGCGUAAUGGUUGUCAGCGA